UACGGGGGGCAAGGCGUUGUUCGGCGAAUUAUCUGGGCGUAAAGGGCUCGUAGGCGGCCAACUAAGUCGGACGUGAAAUCCCCAGGCUCAACCUGGAACUGCGUCGUGAUACUGGAUGGUGCUUGGAUCCGGGAGAGGGAUGCGGAAUUCCAGUGUAGCGGUGAAAUGCGUAGAUAUCGAGGAGGAACACCGGUGGCGAAGGCGGGUCUCUGGCCGAUACUGACGCUGAGGAGCGAAAGGCGUGGGGAGC
rnacentral:rRNA from 1 species